rnacentral:rRNA from 1 species
UACCGCGGUUAAACGAGAGGCCCCAGUUGAUAAUAUCGCGGCGUAAAGGGUGGUUAAGGGCUGCAACCUAAUAAAGCCAAAUAGCCCUCCGGCCGUCAUACGCUUCCAGGCGCUAGAGACCCAAUCACACGAAAGUAGCUUUAAUAACACUCACCUGACCCCACGAAAGCUGAGAAACAAACUGGGAUUAGAUACCCCACUAUGCUCAGCCAUAAACCUAGACAUCGAAGCACAAUUGUAUGUCCGCCAGGGUACUACGAGCAUUAGCUUGAAACCCAAAGGACCUGACGGUGCCUCAGACCCCCCUAGAGGAGCCUGUUCUAGAACCGAUAACCCCCGUUAAACCUCACCACUUCUGGUCAACCCAGCCUAUAUACCGCCGUCGCCAGCUUACCCCGUGAGGGAAACAAAGUAAGCAAAAUGGGCACAACCCAGAACGUCAGGUCGAGGUGUAGCGCAUGAAGUGGGAAGAAAUGGGCUACAUUUUCUAUCACAGAACACUACGAAUGCGCAACAUGAAAUAGUGCUUGAAGGAGGAUUUAGUAGUAAAAGGGAAGAAGAGUGUCCUUUUGAACCCGGCUCUGAGGCGCGUACACACCGCCCGUCACUCUCCCCUGUCAAAAUGCAACAAACUUACCUAACCACAAAGCGCCGACAAGGGGAGACAAGUCGUAACAUGGUAAGUGUACCGGAAGGUGCACUUGGAUAAAACCCAGGGCGUGGCUGAG